AGAUGAUAUAAUUGUGGAUCAAGUAGAAUCUCCAGAUAUCAUUGAUGAUUUUGAGAUUGAGCAAGAUGAAGCUGUAGAUAUAAAGGAUAAAGAAAUCAACAAAGAGAAGUUGAGAAGGCGCAUUGCACAGCACAAGAUUGUGCUCCGUAAUCCUUGUCGUGAAGGUAAAAAGCUGCUUGUUCUGGAUAUUGAUUAUACUUUGUUUGAUCACCGGUCAACUGCAGAGAACCCACUCGAACUCAUGAGGCCAUAUCUUCAUGAGUUUCUCUCGGCUGCUUAUGCAGCAUAUGACAUCAUGAUAUGGUCAGCAACCAGCAUGAAGUGGGUUGAGGUGAAAAUGAAACAACUUGGUGUACUCGAUAAUCCAAACUACAAAAUUACAGCUAUGCUGGACCAUAUGGCCAUGAUAACAGUACAAUCGGAUCAUUAUGGAGUUUUCGACUGCAAGCCUUUAGGCCUAAUUUGGGCUCAUUUUCCAGAGUUUUACAGUCCCAAAAAUACUAUAAUGUUUGAUGACCUACGAAGGAACUUUGUGAUGAACCCUCAAAAUGGGUUGCCUAUAAAGCCAUUCAGAAAGGCACACGCUAAUCGGAGCAGUGAUGACGAGCUAAUGAAGCUCACUCAAUAUUUGUUUGCCAUUUCAGAUCUUGAUGACUUGAGCCUUCUUGAUCAUAAAAGAUGGGAGUCCUUCGAUGGAGUCAGUUUUAAAAAACACUGAUAUUCCUAAGCGUCUGCAACUCCUUCCGAAGUCAACAGAAAAAUGAUUUGCGUUGGACAAUCAAAGAAAUGUAUCCAUUCCGUUCGUCUACUAGGAGAUAACUAAUAUUUCUGAUGUGUACUUCUAAUUAUUAGGCAGAAGGGUCUAUAUUU
rnacentral:misc_RNA from 1 species